AUUGAACGCUGGCGGCAGGCCUAACACAUGCAAGUCGAGCGAGCGGCGGACGGGUGAGUAAUGUAUGGGAAACUGCCCGAUGGAGGGGGAUAACUACUGGAAACGGUAGCUAAUACCGCAUACCAUCGGAUGAGCCCAGAUGGGAUUAGCUAGUAGGUGGGGUAAAGGCUCACCUAGGCGACGAUCCCUAGCUGGUCUGAGAGGAUGACCAGCCACACUGGGACUGAGACACGGCCCAGACUCCUACGGGAGGCAGCAGUGGGGAAUAUUGCACAAUGGGCGCAAGCCUGAUGCAGCCAUGCCGCGUGUGUGAAGAAGGCCUUAGGGUUGUAAAGUACUUUCAGCGGGGAGGCGUUACUCGCAGAAGAAGCACCGGCUAACUCCGUGCCAGCAGCCGCGGUAAUAC
rnacentral:rRNA from 1 species